GGGAAGCAGGAGGAGAGGAGGGAGGGGCAGGUUUAUGGAGGGGGCUGGUAAGCUCACUCUGGGGUAUGCCUAGUUUCAGGGGCCUGCAGGACACUGAGGGCGAGAUUUCUAGGAGACAGACAUGGGUCUGAAGCAUGGAGGGAAGUCAGAGGGGGAGAGAUGACCUUGAUACAGUCAAGCACAGAGUUGGUCAUGGGGCACCACGAGCACCAGCACAGUGCCUCCCACGGAGCACGGACUCAGAAAUGUUUGUUGUUGCCUGUGAGAGUCCUGUCACUGGUGGCUUCAUAGAGGUGAUGACGUUUGAGAUGAAGAAACCGAGGCUCCAAGGGCUCACGAUGCUGGCCGAAGAUGGAAAAGUUAGUUAAUGGAAUGGAUAUCAGUUCAGUGAAUUGUGCACACGGAUGGAUUCAAGCAGGAAACGUGAGUGACCGGUGCUGAGUUCCUUCUGAAUCUGCAGGAGGAUUUUCCUGGAAAUCUUUAGAGGGAGCUGUGAGGGCUUGGGCUGCAG
rnacentral:lncRNA from 1 species